rnacentral:lncRNA from 10 species
UGACUCCAAAGCCAAUGGAAUGUUUCUUCCACUACUCUUUAUCACCUGGGCAGGACAUGCUCCACUGUUGGACCUGAGGCAAAUUUUUGUGGAAUAUCAAUAAUUUUGGAUGAUAACAGAGAAAAAUGACACCGAACCACGUGGACUUGCCAGAGAUGGACUCCAACUGGAGGCCAGAAAGCAGAAGAGCCUGGAAAUGCCAUCUAUGAAGGUCGGCCUCUGAGCAGCCCAGAGAAAAGCAGAAAUGAGACUGGGGCAGCCAAGAGUGAAUAACCAGCACGGUAGCUGACGCAGUGCGGUACACAAAGGGCGCGCUUCCAGUAAGACCUCAAGGCCCAUGUGCUGCUUUGAAUUCAACUGAACCGAAUGGAGAAACUGGUUGCAAGUAAAGGGUGUUAUGUGGUAAAGGCAACUGGACCCUGGACCGCUAGG